CCUACGGGGGGCAGCAGUGGUGAAUAUUUCACAAUGUGGUAAACCCUUAUUCAUCUACUCCUCUUUAUUGAAGAAGUAUUUCGGUAUGUAAAGCUCUAUCAGCAGGGAAGAAAAUGACGGUACCUGAUUAAGAAGCCCCGGCUAACUACGUGCCAGCAGCCGCGGUAAUACGUAGGGGGCAAGCGUUAUCCGGAUUUACUGGGUGUAAAGGGAGCGUAGACGGCAGCACAAGUCUGGAGUGAAAUGCCGGGGCUUAACCCCGGAACUGCUUUGGAAACUGUGCAGCUAGAGUGCAGGAGAGGUAAGUGGAAUUCCUAGUGUAGCGGUGAAAUGCGUAGAUAUUAGGAGGAACACCAGUGGCGAAGGCGGCUUACUGGACUGUAACUGACGUUGAGGCUCGAAAGCGUGGGGAGCAAACAGGAUUAGAUACCCGUGUAGUC
rnacentral:rRNA from 1 species